UGACUGGAGUGCAGAAGUUUGCUCAUCCGAUGAAAAUAGAUAAAAUAUUAUCAGAAGAAGCAGAAAAGAAAAUUAGAUUUUUAAAGCAAACAUACUAUGAAGGAGGCUCUAAAUUAACUAAAUCUCUUGCCAGGCGAUUAAGAAACAAACAAUA